UACGGAGGGGGCUAGCGUUGUUCGGAAUUACUGGGCGUAAAGCGCACGUAGGCGGCUUUGCAAGUUAGAGGUGAAAGCCCGGGGCUCAACUCCGGAAUGCCUUUAAAACUGCAUCGCUAGAAUUGUGGAGAGGUAAGUGGAAUUCCGAGUGUAGAGGUGAAAUUCGUAGAUAUUCGGAAGAACACCAGUGGCGAAGGCGACUUACUGGACACAUAUUGACGCUGAGGUGCGAAAGCGUGGGGAGCAAACAGGG
rnacentral:rRNA from 1 species